rnacentral:tRNA from 1 species
UCCUCGAUAGCUCAAUGGUAGAGCGGCUGACUGUUAAUCAGUAGGUUCCAGGUUCGAGUCCUGGUCGAGGAGCCA